rnacentral:rRNA from 1 species
UGCAAGUCGAGCGAGAAACCGCCCUUCGGGGUGGAAGUACAGCGGCGCACGGGUGAGUAGCGCGUGGGUAAUCUACCCCUGCCUGAGGGAUAACACACCGAAAGGUGUGCUAAUACUGCAUAAUCCGGCGAAUCUGCGGUUUUGUCGGCAAAGGUGGCCUCUUCAUGAAAGCUGCCGGGUGGGGAUGAGCCCGCGUCCCAUUAGCUAGUUGGUAGGGUAAUGGCCUACCAAGGCGACGAUGGGUAGCUGGUCUGAGAGGACGACCAGCCACACUGGAACUGGAACACGGUCCAGACUCCUACGGGAGGCAGCAGUGAGGAAUAUUGCGCAAUGGGGGAAACCCUGACGCAGCGAUGCCGCGUGGGUGAAGAAGGCCUUCGGGUCGUAAAGCCCUGUCAGGUGGGAAGAACCGUCUCUUAUUCAAUAGGUAAGAGGCCUGACGGUACCACCGAAGGAAGCACCGGCUAACUCCGUGCCAGCAGCCGCGGUAAGACGGAGGGUGCUAGCGUUAUUCGGAAUUAUUGGGCGUAAAGAGCGUGUAGGCGGCCGGUUAAGUCAGGUGUGAAAGCCCAGGGCUCAACCCUGGAAGUGCACUUGAAACUGAUCGGCUUGAGUUCGGGAGAGGGAAGCGGAAUUCCGGGUGUAGAGGUGAAAUUCGUAGAUAUCCGGAGGAACACCGGUGGCGAAGGCGGCUUCCUGGACCGAAACUGACGCUGAGACGCGAAAGCGUGGGGAGCAAACAGGAUUAGAUACCCUGGUAGUCCACGCCGUAAACGAUGGGCGCUAGGUGUGGGGG